rnacentral:rRNA from 2 species
UAAAACUUUUAACAACGGAUCUCUUGGUUCUGGCAUCGAUGAAGAACGCAGCGAAAUGCGAUAAGUAAUGUGAAUUGCAGAAUUCAGUGAAUCAUCGAAUCUUUGAACGCACAUUGCGCCCCCUGGUAUUCCGGGGGGCAUGCCUGUUCGAGCGUCAU